rnacentral:rRNA from 1 species
CCUACGGGAGGCAGCAGUAAGGAAUAUUGGUCAAUGGGCGCAAGCCUGAACCAGCCAUGCCGCGUGCAGGAAGACGGCCCUAUGGGUUGUAAACUGCUUUUGAACAAGAGAAAACCUCGGUACGUGUACCGAGCUGAUAGUAUUGUUAGAAUAAGCAUCGGCUAACUUCGUGCCAGCAGCCGCGGUAAGACGAAGGAUGCAAGCGUUAUCCGGAUUCAUUGGGUUUAAAGGGUGCGUAGGCGGCCUGAUAAGUCAGUGGUGAAAUCUCUCAGCUUAACUGAGAAACUGCCAUUGAUACUGUCGGGCUUGAGUACAGAUGAUGUGGGCGGAAUAUGACAUGUAGUGGUGAAAUACUUAGAUAUGUCAUAGAACACCGAUUGCGAAGGCAGCUCACAAAACUGUAACUGACGCUGAGGCACGAAAGUGCGGGGGAUCAAACAGGAUUAGAUACCCUGGUAGUCCGCACCGUAAACGAUGAUUACUCGUUGUUGGCAAUAUGACCGUCAGCGACCAAGCGAAAGCGAUAAGAAUCCACCCGNGGAGGACGCCGGCGACGUAGAACGUAACGAAGUAAGUAGACGGACGAGGAGAGCGACGGACGGACGACGACGGAGGGAGGAG